GCGAUGGUGGCAGCAGUG
rnacentral:misc_RNA from 1 species